GUUUGUUUCUAUCUAAAGGGUGUGUACUAUGUCUAUGUCUAAAUGCGAAUGAAUGCAAAAGAAAUACGGGGAAAAGAAGGAAAUAUUUACAAAUGUGCUCGUUCAAGCCCCGCGACUUGAUGCCUACGUAUCCUUUUCAGGAAUCAGAGCGUCGUAGUUCGGCUCUUUAGUUUCUGUUUGUUUUUUGUGUUUUUUAGUUGGGCGGCGUUAACGUUCGCGCUCUUGCACAAGGGGACAGCCUAGGAUGCAAUGGAGCGGAAAUAACAGUGCCCUUAAGAAAGCGAGAGAAGAGAGAGAGAGAGAGAGUUUGGGUGUUUCGAGGAAAUCCCUUAAGCAAGGGAAACUCGAGUUACUCUUUGGUUUGUGUUUUUUAGAGGUUGGGAACUUACGCCUGAAUGGAACCCUUAAGCAAGGGAGCUCCAAGCACUCGAACAUCCCUUAAGCAAGGGAAGUUACAAGCUUCCAUUCCCUUUUUAUUAGUCAAAGUAUUUAUUAGUCAUUUUUUAUGAGUUUUCUUGGUAUUUUUUUAUGGGAAAUUUAUUCAAGUAUUUUUAGAUGGAUUGAAGUUGAAAAAGAAAAAGAAUGCAAAAGGGAACUAGUCCUAAUGUCUACAUCUAUGUUGUACAAAAGGAAAUUAGCCUAAAAUUGUCAAGGGGUAAAUUCUAAAAGAUACAAACGUAAGAUCGACUGAAAGAAAUAAAAGUCUAAUUAAACGUCAAGAAUUAAACUCUACAAAGGAUAAUCAAAAUCCGAUUCUAUACAGGUUAAUUGAACUCACAUACAAAAAUCGAUAUUAAAUUCUAAUCCUAAGUCAAUUAGCAAUUUAUCUACAAAAGGAAUUAAAACUAAGAGAAUCCCCAUACAUGAGCAAAAUGAUUUAUUAAAACUAUUAAAACGAUAGGAAAAGGGAUCACAAAAUAUUCACAAAAAUCAAAACACCCUAAAAUAUCUAUAAAUAUUUUUCAUAUAUUUUUUUAUGUGAAGGGAAUUGAAUUAAGAGUGAAAAGAAAACAAAAUUAAAUCAAACUAUUUCUAACAGGCGGGGGGUGUCAAUUGAAAAUAGUGGUAGUAUUAGCAAAACAGGCGGAGGCCCAGGUAUUGGCCCAAACAGAAUUUCUGUGUGUUCAGUUUUACUUCUAAAAAAGGUGACCACGGGCCAAAGGGGGGGUACGCAUAGCAUUAUGGCCCAUAAGUUUUUGUUGUGAUUCAAACCAGGGAGAGGUGUGAUUGGGCUCGGUGGAGGUGGCAAAUCAGAGGCCCAUGUUGUUCUUGGUCCAGUUUUAUUAAUUUUCAGAUUUAUUUGAAUUAAAAAACAAUUAAGUAAAAAAAGAAAAAAGGAGGAGGAAUCAAAUUGAGAUUAGGGUUGUGUUAGGGGCGCCGAUUCACCUCUUCUUUCGUUCUCGCUCUCUUCUUCGCGAAUACAACAACGACGACCUCUCCGGCGAGCGCCAUGAACGCCGCCGUGAGUCCUUAUUACCCCUUCCCUCAAAUUCGUUCUCUCUGUUUCUAUCUCUCCCAAACCUAAACCUCACUCGCAAUCGAACGGCUAAUGGGGAUUCAGAGCGAAAUACACAAUCCAAAGGUUCCAACUGAUUCCGUAUAACAUCAAGAACACAAAAAGGAGGCGAAGAUUUUGAAGCGAAUAAACAGAGGUACUUACCGGUCGGAGUUCGUCCGACGCGACUUCAACGUGAUGAGUCUUCUGAUUCUUCUUUCUUCUUCUUCCUUGAUUUUCUGAAACUCUGUGAGGCUCGUUGUUGGUGAUAGCGUGCUUGAAGUGAAAUUGAGAGAAUGUGAGCUCGUUGUGAUGUUGUUCUUGUGAGGCAGAGAUGUCGAUAGAAUUUACGAGAUGAUGUAGUAUGAGAACUGAGAGUGUUGUUGAGGGCGAUGAUGACUGUGGAGUGAGGUCUAGCUCAACUACUUAGAGCUUCAGAGGUUGAAGCUCUAAGAGUCAUGGUGGAGAGCGUGUAGUAGAGGUUGGGAGAGAUGAAGAAUGGAGCGUGAAGGUGAAGAAUGAGUGGCAUGAGUUGAUAUUUUCUGCUUAGCACAUCUUCAUUCAAGAUUCUCAAGCGGAAUUAUGAAGAAGAUGGUGGCUGUUCUUCUAGGUCUGUUGUAGGUGAGUGAAGCUGGUUUUAUAUGGGCAAUGAUUGGAUACUGAUAAUGAAUUCUUGGGUGUGGAGCCUGAAUCAUAACUUGUAAUGAGCUUUUUUCGAUUUCUCGAGUGUGGGACUUGGAAGGUGUGUUGAUAAUUGUUGUAGAUAGCUGAAUGAACUGUUUUAAUUGUUUUCUGAUUUUCUUGUUAAUCUCUGUUAGUAUCUCUUAUGACAGUUAGGUUGUUAGUUAGCUUCUCCUCUGUUAAUGUGUUAGCAACUAUUAUUUGGUUUAGGGACUGUUAACUGAAAGUGAGUGAAAUUUUUCUGUUUAUCGGUUUGUCAUGAAAUUCAGUAGUUAGGUUAAUCUUGCUAGUAACUAUAUGUUAGCUUUGGGGUAUGGUACUGAAUUUGAUGUCUUGAAUGGGGUAUGGGAUUGGAUGCUGUUUGAUUUUCUGUAACAAUUUGGUUUUGUUGAAUGGUGUAUGUAUGAAUGUAGAUAUAUGGGGCUGUUAGGGACAUGUUAAUUGGUUAAGAGGUUUAGGAUUCUAUAGCAGGGCUACUGUCAAUAGGUUAGAAAAAGGUUAAUAGCAUGUUAGUUAUAGGGAAGAAAGAACUGCUGUUUGUAAGUUAACAUGGAUAUUGGUUAAAACAGGAUAGUUAGUAAUGAAGUGAACUUGAGCUAGUGGAACAAGAUGCAACAGCCAGAAGUUAAAAGGAGGCCACUAUUCUGUUUUGUCUUGCACUAUAUUGAUCAUGAAUUUGCGGAUAAAUCUGAACAUGAGUUUAUGAAUGUGUGUAUGGCCGGUUUAGCGUAGGCAUAGCUUGAUUUUUGUUUGAUAAGUGCAUGAGGUACCAAGUUGAACUGAACUUGUUUAUUUUUCUUUGUGUUUUGAUGGUGAUGCACGGCUGCAAUGUGUGCGAAGAUAUACGUAUGCAUGACUUAAACUUGAAGGUGGUAUGAUGACUGAUUGGUCUGUAAGGUUUUCAAGUGUUUGGAUGGAUGUUAUAGCUGCGGAAUGGUUAGAAACAAAUGCCGAAAUGAUGAAGUCAAGUUAUGUGAAAAAUAUUAGACUGUUAUUGGUUGUUAUGGCAAUGUGUGUUUAAUGAAAUAAUGUUGGCUGGUGCAGCAAGUGCGGGUUAUCGGCAUGUCGCGACGGGUCUUUUUUCAUUUUGGUUAUGAUGCAAUGAGGCCUGCGAGAGUACAAGGUAAAGGUAUUUGAAUGUGGUGUUUACAGGACUGGGGUGAGGCUUGAUGGUUAGAGGUUUGGCAGCUGGUUCUAGCAGGGAGACCACUUGAAGAAAGAUGAAGAAAAUUGGAGUUUUGGAUGAAAUUAGGGGGAGUCACAUUGGUGUUGACUUUGGUCCUUCAUGUAGUCCUUUUUUGUUUUAUUCCUUUGUAAUUGACUUUUGUGAAGAAUUAGAAUGGUGUAAUGAUGUAAUUUGUGUUUGGAUUUUGAAUGGAUGUUAGAUAGGAGCUGCUGCUAAUGUGUGUCUUUUGUUUAGUAUUGGGAUGGUGUUUUGGACUAUGGGAAUUAAUUCAAGUGUAAUGAAUUGUAAUGUAUGAAGUGGCUUUUGAGUGUGGGCGUUGACCCCCUUGUUUUUUGUAA